UUAAGCGACUAAGCGUACACGGUGGAUGCCCUGGCAGUCAGAGGCGAUGAAGGACGUGCUAAUCUGCGAAAAGCGUCGGUAAGGUGAUAUGAACCGUUAUAACCGGCGAUGUCCGAAUGGGGAAACCCAGUGCAAUUCGUUGCACUAUCGUUAACUGAAUACAUAGGUUAACGAGGCGAACCGGGGGAACUGAAACAUCUAAGUACCCCGAGGAAAAGAAAUCAACCGAGAUUCCCCCAGUAGCGGCGAGCGAACGGGGAGCAGCCCAGAGUCUGAAUCAGCUUGUGUGUUAGUGGAACGGUCUGGAAAGUCCGACGGUACAGGGUGAUAGUCCCGUACACCAAAAUGCACAGGUUGUGAACUCGAAGAGUAGGGCGGGACACGUGGUAUCCUGUCUGAAUAUGGGGGGACCAUCCUCCAAGGCUAAAUACUCCUGACUGACCGAUAGUGAACCAGUACCGUGAGGGAAAGGCGAAAAGAACCCCGGCGAGGGGAGUGAAAAAGAACCUGAAACCGUGUACGUACAAGCAGUGGGAGCACCUUCGGGUGUGACUGCGUACCUUUUGUAUAAUGGGUCAGCGACUUAUAUUCUGUAGCAAGGUUAACCGUAUAGGGGAGCCGCAGGGAAACCGAGUCUUAACUGGGCGUUAAGUUGCAGGGUAUAGACCCGAAACCCGGUGAUCUAGCCAUGGGCAGGUUGAAGGUUGGGUAACACUAACUGGAGGACCGAACCGACUAAUGUUGAAAAAUUAGCGGAUGACUUGUGGCUGGGGGUGAAAGGCCAAUCAAACCGGGAGAUAGCUGGUUCUCCCCGAAAGCUAUUUAGGUAGCGCCUCGUGAACUCAUCUUCGGGGGUAGAGCACUGUUUCGGCUAGGGGGUCAUCCCGACUUACCAACCCGAUGCAAACUACGAAUACCGAAGAAUGUUAUCACGGGAGACACACGGCGGGUGCUAACGUCCGUCGUGAAGAGGGAAACAACCCAGACCGCCAGCUAAGGUCCCAAAGUCAUGGUUAAGUGGGAAACGAUGUGGGAAGGCACAGACAGCCAGGAUGUUGGCUUAGAAGCAGCCAUCAUUUAAAGAAAGCGUAAUAGCUCACUGGUCGAGUCGGCCUGCGCGGAAGAUGUAACGGGGCUAAACCAUGCACCGAAGCUGCGGCAGCGACACUAUGUGUUGUUGGGUAGGGGAGCGUUCUGUAAGCCUGCGAAGGUGUGCUGUGAGGCAUGCUGGAGGUAUCAGAAGUGCGAAUGCUGACAUAAGUAACGAUAAAGCGGGUGAAAAGCCCGCUCGCCGGAAGACCAAGGGUUCCUGUCCAACGUUAAUCGGGGCAGGGUGAGUCGACCCCUAAGGCGAGGCCGAAAGGCGUAGUCGAUGGGAAACAGGUUAAUAUUCCUGUACUUGGUGUUACUGCGAAGGGGGGACGGAGAAGGCUAUGUUAGCCGGGCGACGGUUGUCCCGGUUUAAGCAUGUAGGCUGGUUGUCCAGGCAAAUCCGGAUAAUCAAGGCUGAGGUGUGAUGACGAGGCACUACGGUGCUGAAGUAACAAAUGCCCUGCUUCCAGGAAAAGCCUCUAAGCAUCAGGUAACAUCAAAUCGUACCCCAAACCGACACAGGUGGUCAGGUAGAGAAUACCAAGGCGCUUGAGAGAACUCGGGUGAAGGAACUAGGCAAAAUGGUGCCGUAACUUCGGGAGAAGGCACGCUGGUGUGUAGGUGAAGUCCCUGCGGAUGGAGCUGAGACCAGUCGAAGAUACCAGCUGGCUGCAACUGUUUAUUAAAAACACAGCACUGUGCAAACACGAAAGUGGACGUAUACGGUGUGACGCCUGCCCGGUGCCGGAAGGUUAAUUGAUGGGGUUAUCCGUAAGGAGAAGCUCUUGAUCGAAGCCCCGGUAAACGGCGGCCGUAACUAUAACGGUCCUAAGGUAGCGAAAUUCCUUGUCGGGUAAGUUCCGACCUGCACGAAUGGCGUAAUGAUGGCCAGGCUGUCUCCACCCGAGACUCAGUGAAAUUGAACUCGCUGUGAAGAUGCAGUGUACCCGCGGCAAGACGGAAAGACCCCGUGAACCUUUACUAUAGCUUGACACUGAACAUUGAGCCUUGAUGUGUAGGAUAGGUGGGAGGCUUUGAAGCGUGGACGCCAGUCUGCGUGGAGCCAACCUUGAAAUACCACCCUUUAAUGUUUGAUGUUCUAACGUUGGCCCCUGACCGGGGUUGCGGACAGUGUCUGGUGGGUAGUUUGACUGGGGCGGUCUCCUCCCAAAGCGUAACGGAGGAGCACGAAGGUUAGCUAAUCCUGGUCGGACAUCAGGAGGUUAGUGCAAUGGCAUAAGCUAGCUUGACUGCGAGCGUGACGGCGCGAGCAGGUGCGAAAGCAGGUCAUAGUGAUCCGGUGGUUCUGAAUGGAAGGGCCAUCGCUCAACGGAUAAAAGGUACUCCGGGGAUAACAGGCUGAUACCGCCCAAGAGUUCAUAUCGACGGCGGUGUUUGGCACCUCGAUGUCGGCUCAUCACAUCCUGGGGCUGAAGUAGGUCCCAAGGGUAUGGCUGUUCGCCAUUUAAAGUGGUACGCGAGCUGGGUUUAGAACGUCGUGAGACAGUUCGGUCCCUAUCUGCCGUGGGCGCUGGAGAAUUGAGGGGGGCUGCUCCUAGUACGAGAGGACCGGAGUGGACGCAUCACUGGUGUUCGGGUUGUCAUGCCAAUGGCACUGCCCGGUAGCUAAAUGCGGAAGAGAUAAGUGCUGAAAGCAUCUAAGCACGAAACUUGCCCCGAGAUGAGUUCUCCCUGAGACUUUAAGUCUCCUGAAGGAACGUUGAAGACGACGACGUUGAUAGGCCGGGUGUGUAAGCGCAGCGAUGCGUUGAGCUAACCGGUACUAAUGAACCGUGAGGCUUAACCUU
rnacentral:rRNA from 1 species